GCUCUGGACCAGUGUGGCCCGUCCAGCGAGAGGAAGAUCGCAGUCAUAGACAAGAACCGUGACCUGUACCUGACCGCUGUGCAUCGCAUCAACAGAGAACACAACAUCUGCAAGAUAGGUCCACACCAUGUCCUAGAAUGACUCCGCGAACAUCCUGUGUGGUAUUCAGGACACACAGUUCACUGUGUGGCACUAUCCCGGUGCGGUCUUCACUGGACCUGCUGGCUAAAACACUACAUGAAAGACGCCAGUGAGUUCAGCCGUGCGGCCCACAUCCUGAACUAUGUGGGACUCAGGUGACGGCUCGUUGGUGUUCAGCAGCUUACCUACACCACCGUGCUGCAUGAGUAC